UACGUAGGGCGCAAGCGUUAUCCGGAAUUAUUGGGCGUAAAGAGCUCGUAGGCGGUUUGUCGCGUCUGCCGUGAAAGUCCGGGGCUCAACUCCGGAUCUGCGGUGGGUACGGGCAGACUAGAGUGAUGUAGGGGAGACUGGAAUUCCUGGUGUAGCGGUGAAAUGCGCAGAUAUCAGGAGGAACACCGAUGGCGAAGGCAGGUCGCUGGGACGUAACUGACGCUGAGACGCGAAAGCGUGGGGAGCAAACAGG
rnacentral:rRNA from 1 species